rnacentral:misc_RNA from 1 species
AAGUUCAUGAUAAAAGUAAAUAAUAUGGUCCAGAAUGCUAAUACAAAUAGAAAUUAAAUCAUAAACAUUUAUUCUAAUUGAAAAUUAUCAUUAAACCAAGAUUUGAUGAUGACAAAACUUGAUAUAAAUUACUGUUUUUGAUGAGAUGAUAUAUUAGUAAACCAAACUUUACCGAUGGUUAAGUGUCAAGCAUAUUAGAAUUAUGGGGAAAAUUUAUUCUUUUUAAAGAAUUAUUAUUAUUUUCUUUUAGGGAGGACGUUACAGCCCAUUACAAAUUUAUUAGAAAAUAUGGAAAUACUGACGUUCAUUAUUAAAAAGAAUCUCUAUUAGUCCCAAUCACUGCAGCAGUGGAGCUAGGUUUUUAU